AUGGCCUGGAUGGUGCUUCUUCUUGGGUUCCUUGUCUAUGGCUCAGAAGCAGAUUCUCAGACUGUGGUAACCCAGGAACCGUCACUCUCAGUGUCUCCAGGAGGGACAGUCACACUCACAUGUGGCCUCAGCUCUGGGUCAAUCUCUACAAGUAACUACCCCAACUGGUACCAGCAGACCCAAGGCCGGGCUCCUUGCAGGGUUAUCUACAACACAAACAACCGCCCCUCUGGGGUCCCUGAUCGCUUCUCUGGAUCCAUCUCUGGGAACAAAGCCGCCCUCACCAUCACAGCCGCCCAGCCUGAGGACGAGGCUGACUACUACUGUUCAUUGUAUAUGGGUAGUAACAUUUACACAGUGAUUUAA